GAUGAAGAACGUAGCGAAAUGCGAUAAGUAAUGUGAAUUGCAGAAUUCAGUGAAUCAUCGAAUCUUUGAACGCACAUUGCGCCCGCCAGUAUUCUGGCGGGCAUGCCUGUUCGAGCGUCAUUUCAACCCUCAAGCCCAGCUUGGUGUUGGGGAUCGGCACAGGCGCCCUCGGGCGCCAGCCGUCCCCUAAAUCUAGUGGCGGUCCCGCUGCAGCCUCCUCUGCGUAGUAGUUUUCUCCUCGCAAGGGCAGCUCGGUGGCGACCUCGCCGUAAAACCCCCAACUUCUGAAAGGUUGACCUCGAAUCAGGUAGGAAUACCCGCUGAACUUAAGCAUAUCAUAAGCGGAGGA
rnacentral:misc_RNA from 1 species